rnacentral:rRNA from 1 species
AUAAGCAAAUAAGAGUAGAUGGUGGAUGCCUUGGCUCUGAGAGACUAUGAAGGACGUUUGACUGCGAUAAGUUGCGAAUAAUAAAAUAAAUUUAUAAGUUGGUUGCUAAAUUGAGAAGUUGCGAAUAAUAAAAGAAAUUGAGAAGUUGCGAAUAAUAAAAGAAAUUGUUGCGAAUAAUAAAAGAAAUUGUUGCGAAUAAUAAAAGAAAUUGAGAAGUUGCGAAUAAUAAAAGAAAUUGAGAAGUUGCGUUGCGAAUAAUAAAAGAAAUUGAGAAGUUGCGUUGCGAAUAAUAAAAGAAAUUGAGAAGUUGCGUUGCGAAUAAUAAAUUUAUUGAUUUGCGAAUUUCCGAAUAGGGGAACUUGCUGAAUAUUUAGAUUCAGUUUCAUUAAUAUGAAGGUAACCUGUAGAACUGAAACAUCUAAGUAACCAGAGGAAAAAAAAACAAAAGUGAUUCUGUUAGUAGCGGCGAGCGAAAACAGAAUAGCCCAAACUAUUAGUAAAGUAAUAGUGUUGUAGGACUAAUAGAUUGAUUAUUUUAUUAUAAAAUAGAAUAUUUUGGAAAAAAUAUCCAUAGAAGGUGAUAGUCCUGUCUAUUAAUUAAAAUAGAUAACAUAUUAGUAUCCUGAGUAAAACGGAACACGUGAAAUUCUGUUUGAAUCUGCCGGGACCAUCUGGCAAGGCUAAAUACUUCUCAGAGACCGAUAGUGAACUAGUACCGUGAGGGAAAGGUGAAAAGAACUUCUAAUAGAAGAGUGAAAUAGAUCCUGAAACCAUACACUUACAAGCAGUCGGAGCUUAAAAAAGUAACGACGUGCCUUUUGCAUAAUGAACCUACGAGUUAAUUUUAUUGGCAAGGUUAAAUAAUGAAGUUAUGUAGCCGUAGCGAAAGCGAGUAUUAAAUAUGCGAUAGUCGGUAUAAUUAGACGCGAACCCGGGUGAUCUACCUAUGGGCAGGUUGAAGCUAUGGUAACACAUAGUGGAGGACCGAACUGGUAAACGUUGAAAAGUUUUCGGAUGACCUGUGGGUAGGAGUGAAAGGCUAAUCAAACUCGGAGAUAGCUCGUACUCCCCGAAAUGCAUUUAGGUGCAGCAUUGUGUUAAAAUAUUAUAGAGGUAGAGCUACUGAUUGGAUGAGGGGACUUCAUCGUCUACCAAUUCUUGACAAACUCCGAAUGCUGUAAUAUGUUUCACAGUAGUGAGGGCAUGGGUGCUAAGAUCCAUAUCCGAGAGGGGAACAACCCAGACCAACAGCUAAGGCCCCAAAGUAUAUACUAAGUUGAAUAAACGGAGUUCAUUGACGUAGAUAGCUAGGAUGUUAGCUUGGAAGCAGCUAUUCAUUUAAAGAGUGCGUAACAGCUCACUAGUUUAGUUAUUGAGCAUGGAUAAUAAUCGGGCAUAAGUAUAUAGCCGAAGCUAUGGGAUAAAAUCGGUAGGGGAGCAUUGUAAGAACAUAGAAGUUAUAUUGCUAAAUAUAGUGGAGUUAUUACAAAAGAAAAUGUAGGUAUAAGUAACGAUAAUGCAGGUGAGAAACCUGCACACCGAAAGACUAAGGUUUCCUCAGCUAUGUUAAUCAACUGAGGGUUAUUCGGACCCUAAUGUGAAACCGAAAGGUGUAAUUGAUGGAUUACUAUUUAAUAGUAUAGUAUAUAUUUAAUAUUUUUUGUGAUGAGGUGACGAAGUAGUGAAACUGUCGCGUUUUUAUGGAAUAGAACGUUAAAUUUGUUAGGUGUAAUAUAGGUAAAUCUGUAUUAUUAAACUGACCUUAAAUAUGGGACCAUAACUUUAAAAUAAGUAAAAUGGAUAGAACAACUAAUAACUUCCAAGAAAAACCUCUAAACAAUUUAAAAAAAAAGAUGUUAAAUAUUCCGUACCAAAACCGACACAGGUAGUUGGGGUGAAUAUCCUAAGGUGCUCGAGUGAAUCACGGCUAAGGAACUAGGCAAAAUAGACCUGUAACUUAGGGAAAAAGGUUGCCCUAAUUUUUAGGGCCGCAGUAAAAAGGUCCAGGCGACUGUUUAUCAAAAACACAGGACUCUGCUAAAUUGAAAGAUGAUGUAUAGGGUCUGACACCUGCCCGGUGCUGGAAGGUUAAUGAAGGAGGUUAACAUAUUUGUAAAGCCUUUGACUGAAGCCUCAGUAAACGGCGGCCGUAACUAUAACGGUCCUAAGGUAGCGAAAUUCCUUGUCGGGUAAGUUCCGACCUGCACGAAUGGUGUAACGAUCUGGACACUGUCUCGGCCGUGAGCUCGGUGAAAUUGUAGUAUCGGUGAAGAUGCCGAUUACUCGCAAUGGGACGAAAAGACCCUGUGAACCUUUACUAUAGCUUCGUAUUGAUUUUGAGUAAAUAAUGUGUAGUAUAGGUGGGAGACUUUGAAACAUUAUCGCUAGGUAGUGUGGAGUCAAUAUUGAAAUACCACCCUUUAUUUAAUUGGGGUCUAACUUAGUAAAUAUAAGGACAUUGCGUGGUGGGUAGUUUGACUGGGGUGGUCGCCUCCAAAAAAGUAACGGAGGCUUCCAAAGGUGCCCUAAACACGUUUGGUAAUCGUGUAUAGAGUAUAAUGGCAUAAGGGCGCUUGACUGUAAGACUUACAAGUCGAACAGGUACGAAAGUAGGGCAUAGUGAUCCGGUGGUUCUGUAUGGGAAGGCCAUCGCUCAAAGGAUAAAAGGUACUCCGGGGAUAACAGGCUAGUCUCCCCCAAGAGCUCACAUCGACGGGGAGGUUCGGCACCUCGAUGUCGGCUCGUCACAUCCUGGGGCUGAAGAAGGUCCCAAGGGUUGGGCUGUUCGCCCAUUAAAGUGGCACGCGAGCUGGGUUCAGAACGUCGUGAGACAGUUCGGUCUCUAUCUAUUGCGAGCGUUAGAAGCUUGAGUGGAUCUAACUCUAGUACGAGAGGACCGGGUUGGACGAACCUCUGGUAUAUCAGUUGUAUCGCCAGGUGCAAUGCUGAGUAGCUAUGUUCGGAUAAGAUAAGCACUGAAAGCAUAUAAGUGCGAAACUAACCACAAGAUUAGGCUUCUUUUAAGGGUCGUUGAAGAUGACAACGUUGAUAGGCUAUAAGUGUAAAGAUAGUAAUAUCAUAGCUGAGUAGUACUAAUUACCCGUAAGCUUAUAUUA